CCUACGGGUGGCAGCAGUGAGGAAUAUUGGUCAAUGGACGAGAGUCUGAACCAGCCAAGUAGCGUGAAGGAUGACUGCCCUAUGGGUUGUAAACUUCUUUUAUAUGGGAAUAAAAUGUUCCACGUGUGGGUUUUUGUAUGUACUAUAUGAAUAAGGAUCGGCUAACUCCGUGCCAGCAGCCGCGGUAAUACGGAGGAUCCGAGCGUUAUCCGGAUUUAUUGGGUUUAAAGGGAGCGUAGGUGGGUUGUUAAGUCAGUUGUGAAAGUUUGCGGCUCAACCGGAAAAUUGCAGUUGAAACUGGCAGUCUUGAGUACAGUAGAGGUGGACGGAAUUCGUGGUGUAGCGGUGAAAUGCGUAGAUAUCACGCAGAACUCCGAUGGCGAAGGCAGCAUACCGGAGCGCAACUGACGCUCAUGCACGAAAGCGUGGGUAUCGAACAGGAUUAGAUACCCCAGUAGUC
rnacentral:rRNA from 1 species